GUCCACGCCAUAAACGAUGAGAACUAGACGUUGAGAGGGUUAGCCUCCCAGUGUCGCAGCUAACGCGCUAAGUUCUCCGCCUGUGGAGUACGGCCGCAAGGUUGAAACUCAAAGGAAUUGACGGGGACCCCGCACAAGCGGUGGAGCAUGUGGUUUAAUUCGAUGCAACGCGAAGAACCUUACCUGGCCUUUACAUCUGUCGAAUCCUGCAGAGAUGUGGGAGUGCCUUCGGGAACGACAAGACAGGUGCUGCAUGGCUGUCGU
rnacentral:rRNA from 1 species